UAGGGAAUAUUGCUUAAUGGGCGAAAGCCUGAAGCAGCAACGCCGCGUGCACGAUGAAGGUCUUCGGAUCGUAAAGUGCUUUUUUAGAGGAUGAGGAAGGACAGUACUCUAAGAAUAAGCCUCGGCUAACUACGUGCCAGCAGCCGCGGUAAAACGUAGGAGGCGGGCGUUAUCCGGAUUUACUGGGCGUAAAGCGUGUGCAGGUGGUUUGGUAAGUUGGAUGUGAAAGCUCCUGGCUUAACUGGGAGAGGUCGUUCAAUACUGCCAGACUUGAGAGUGAGAGAGGGAGGUGGAAUUCCGGGUGUAGUGGUGAAAUGCGUAUAUAUCCGGAGGAACACCAGUGGCGAAAGCGGCCUCCUGGCUCAUUUCUGACACUCAUACACGAAAGCUAGGGUAGCAAACGG
rnacentral:rRNA from 1 species